UACGGAGGGUGCAAGCGUUAUCCGGAUUCACUGGGUUUAAAGGGUGCGUAGGUGGGUUGAUAAGUCAGUGGUGAAAUCCCCGAGCUUAACUUGGGAACUGCCAUUGAUACUAUUGAUCUUGAAUACCGUGGAGGUCAGCGGAAUAUGUCAUGUAGCGGUGAAGUGCUUAGAUAUGACAUAGAACACCAAUUGCGAAGGCAGCUGGCUACGCGAAUAUUGACUCUGAGGCACGAAAGCGUGGGGAUCAAACAGG
rnacentral:rRNA from 1 species